rnacentral:rRNA from 1 species
AAUAUUGGACAAUGGGCGAAAGCCUGAUCCAGCCAUGCCGCGUGUGUGAAGAAGGUCUUCGGAUUGUAAAGCAUUCUAAGCUGGGAGGAAGGGCAGUAACUCAAUAACUUGCUGCUUUCACGUUACCGACACAAUAAGCACCGGCUAACUGCGUGCCAGCCGCCGCGGUAAUACGAAGGGUGCAAGCGUUAAUCGGAAUUACUGGGCGUAAAGCGCGCGUAGGUGGUUUGUUAAGUUGGAAGUGAAAGCCCCGGGGUCAACCUGGGAACUGCUUUCAAAACUGGCAAGCUAGAGUAUGGCAGAGGGUGGUGGAAUUUCCUGUGUAGCGGUGAAAUGCGUAGAUAUAGGAAGGAACACCAGUAGCGAAGGCGACCACCUGGGCUAAUACUGACACUGAGGUGCGAAAGCGUGGGGAGCAAACAGG